rnacentral:rRNA from 1 species
GAUUAACGCUAGCGGCAGGCAUAAUACAUGCAAGUUGAACGGGAUUAGUUGUAGCAAUAUGACUAUGAGAGUAGCGCACGGGUGCGUAACGCGUAUGCAACCUGCCUUCAUCUGGGGAAUAGCCCCCUCGAAAGAGGGAUUAAUACCGCAUAACAUAGUGAGUAGGCAUCUACUUACUAUUAAAACUACGGUGGAUGAAGAUGGGCAUGCGUGACAUUAGCUAGUUGGUAGGGUAAUGGCCUACCAAGGCUACGAUGUCUAGGGGGUCUGAGAGGAUGUCCCCCCACACUGGUACUGAGAUACGGACCAGACUCCUACGGGAGGCAGCAGUAGGGAAUAUUGGUCCAAUGGGCGCAAGCCUGAACCAGCCAUGCCGCGUGCAGGAUGACGGCCCUAUGGGUUGUAAACUGCUUUUGUACGGGAAGAAACCUCAUUACGUGUAAUGAGUUGACGGUACCGUGAGAAUAAGAUCGGCUAACUUCGUGCCAGCAGCCG